CUCGAGGACGACGCUGGCGGCGUGCUUAAACACAUGCAAGUCGAACGAGAAUCUACUGAAAGAGUUUUCGGACAAUGGAUGUAGAGGAAAGUGGCGGACGGGUGAGUAACGCGUGGGUAACCUGCCUUAUACAGGGGGAUAACAGUUAGAAAUGACUGCUAAUACCGCAUAAGCGCACAGGAUUGCAUGAUCUGGUGUGAAAAACUCCGGUGGUAUAAGAUGGACCCGCGUCUGAUUAGCUGGUUGGUGAGGUAACGGCCCACCAAGGCGACGAUCAGUAGCCGACCUGAGAGGGUGACCGGCCACAUUGGGACUGAGACACGGCCCAAACUCCUACGGGAGGCAGCAGUGGGGAAUAUUGCACAAUGGGGGAAACCCUGAUGCAGCGACGCCGCGUGAGUGAUGAAGUAUUUCGGUAUGUAAAACUCUAUCAGCAGGGAAGAUAAUGACGGUACCUGACUAAGAAGCACCGGCUAAAUACGUG
rnacentral:rRNA from 1 species